AUCGCUUCUCGGCCUUUUGGCUAAGAUCAAGUGUAAAAAUGAAAAUAAAACAAUAAUAGUAGAUAAUUUUAGUUUCAAUUAUGUGAUAUACAUUAGGGUUUCUUUUCGUUACUUAAUCACAUAAAAUGUACCUACG
rnacentral:snRNA from 1 species